rnacentral:misc_RNA from 1 species
CACCCUCCAAGCUUUGCUUGAUGUUGGACGGUGUGUCAGUAAGUUACUGACGCACGUCUGGAACGUGUAGGCGUCCGUCCUGUCGAGACACCUCGAGCGUAGCAAGACUUUCAAGUCAUUUUCGCUUUUGUAGGGACUCCAGCGGACUGCCCCCCUCUGAUUUAGGGAGUCAACCCCCCUAAUCAAUCUCAAGA